GCACCACAAGAGGUGGGACCUGCGGUUCAAUUGGAUUCAACGCCGGAAAACUCACCAGGGGCGACAGCUGGUUGACGGCCAGAUUGACGAUCUUGCCCGACUAGCUGAGAGGUGGUGCAUGGCCAUCGUCAGCUCGUACCGUGAGGCGUCCUGUUAAGUCAGGCAACGAGCGAGAUCCUCGCCCUUAGUUGCCAUCGGUGGAAAGCCGGGCACUCUAGGGGGACCGCUGGCGCUAAGUCAGAGGAAGGAGAGGGCGACGGUAGGUCAGUAUGCCCCGAAUCCCCUGGGCUACACGCGGGUCACAAUGCGCAGGACAAUGAGAUGCAACCCCGUAAGGGGAAGCCAAACCCAUAAACCUGCGCUCGGUUCGGAUCGAGGGCUGUAACUCGCCCUCGUGAAGCUGGAAUCUCUAGUAAUCGCGUGCCAACACCGCGCGGUGAAUGCGUCCCUGCUCCUUGCACACACCGCCCGUCAAGCCACUCGAGUGNNUUUGGAUGAGGUCAGUUCAAGUUGUGCUGCUCGAAUCCGNUUCUNCAAGAGGGGCUAAGUCGUAACAAGGUAACC
rnacentral:rRNA from 1 species